UCUGGAGAGGAGUUCAGUGACAUAUCGUACUCGACGCUAUAUGACUCAGACCUACAGAAAGCUGUUUUGUGAGGUUUUGUGAGAAACCGGCUGAUGCGCCGCAAAAAGGAACUACAGUAAAAUCCCUAGAUUGAAAAACUCAUUUCCGUCCAUUCGUGACGAAUAAAAUGUGUUUUACACCAUUCACCAGAGUCUUAACUUGGUUUGUGUAUGUUUUGACUGAGCCGGCUGUUGUGUUCGAGGUGCAGACUGCACAUGGGUUAAUAGUGAAAUGCGCGCGUGGGAGGAGCUCUUAAAACUGAAAAACACUCCCAGGUCCCCGUGCCGCCAGCUGAGGUGUCACGUUUCACGUAGCAGCGUCACACCACAUUGAGGGAAAAUGUUGAAACGAAUGAUUGAAACGUGGAGCAAGAAGCACGACAAGCAAACACACAUUUGAUCGCUGUCAUUUCAGGACGAUACAUUUCCACCUAACGCCAUAUGACUGAGACGCAGAAACUGUAGAAUGGUUGAGCGGCACUAAGAGAAAACUUGUCCAUGACACAACAGGUCCAAAAGAACCGGAACCGUUCUUCCAGAGACAGAGGCGGACAGUGUUGCUGUUUCCAAAAUAACUAAUAAUAAAAUCCCCACCAUGAAAAAGUUGGCCGUUCCCGUGUUCCUGGUGCUGUGUGCGCUCUGCCAGUGUCUCCCAGGACGUUCAGGUGGGAACACAACUGCUUUGUUUUACUGCACAGAACCGGAUUGUGUCUUAAACGUGCAUAGAGUGUAUUGUGAUGCUGAGCCGGUCCCAUUUAACUCCCCCAUGGACGAGUGCACAGGUCCCCUCCCUCCAAACACCGUCUGCCAGCGAGGUGGUCGAGCGUUUGUUUCCACUAACACAUCUGGUCAAUGUGAUUUUGAAGUAUAUAUCCCGAGCCAACGAU